rnacentral:rRNA from 1 species
CGCUGGCGGCGUGCUUAACACAUGCAAGUCGAACGAUGAAAGCGGGAGCUUGCUCCUGCUGGAUUAGUGGCGAACGGGUGAGUAACACGUGAGUAACCUGCCCUUGACUCUGGGAUAAGCGUUGGAAACGACGUCUAAUACCGGAUACGACCUUCGGAGGCAUCUCCUGGGGGUGGAAAGAAUUUCGGUCAAGGAUGGACUCGCGGCCUAUCAGCUAGUUGGUGAGGUAAUGGGCUCACCAAGGCGACGACGGGUAGCCGGCCUGAGAGGGUGACCGGCCACACUGGGACUGAGACACGGCCCAGACUCCUACGGGAGGCAGCAGUGGGGAAUAUUGCACAAUGGGCGCAAGCCUGAUGCAGCAACACCGCGUGAGGGACGACGGCCUUCGGGUUGUAAACCUCUUUUAGUAGGGAAGAAGCGAAAGUGACGGUACCUGCAGAAAAAGCACCGGCUAACUACGUG